rnacentral:rRNA from 1 species
AGCUCCAAUAGCGUAUAUUAAAAUUGCUGCAGUUAAAAAGCUCGUAGUUGGAUUUCUGGUGUGGUGCGCCGAGCCCGCCGUCGUUUAGGCGGUGAGUGCUUGUUGUGCGCCUACCAUCCUUCCGGAGAGCACAGCCUACCCUUAACUGGGCCGGGUUGCGCGAUCUGGAUCGUUUACUUUGAAAAAAUUAGAGUGUUUAAAGCAGGCGUUUGCUGUGAAUACAUUAGCAUGGAAUAAUAAGAUAGGACUUUGGCUCUAUUUUGUUGGUUUCUAGGACUGAAGUAAUGAUUGAUAGGGACAGUUGGGGGUGCUAGUAUUUAACGGCCAGAGGUGAAAUUCUUGGAUUCGUUAAAGACUAACUUAUGCGAAAGCAUUCACCAAGGAUGUCUUCU